rnacentral:rRNA from 1 species
AGUGAACGCUGGCGGUAGGCCUAACACAUGCAAGUCGAACGGCAGCACAGUAAGAGCUUGCUCUUACGGGUGGCGAGUGGCGGACGGGUGGGGAAUACAUCGGAAUCUACUUUUUCGUGGGGGAUAACGUAGGGAAACUUACGCUAAUACCGCAUACGACCUACGGGUGAAAGCAGGGGAUCUUCGGACCUUGCGCGAUUGAAUGAGCCGAUGUCGGAUUAGCUAGUUGGCGGGGUAAAGGCCCACCAAGGCGACGAUCCGUAGCUGGUCUGAGAGGAUGAUCAGCCACACUGGAACUGAGACACGGUCCAGACUCCUACGGGAGGCAGCAGUGGGGAAUAUUGGACAAUGGGCGCAAGCCUGAUCCAGCCAUACCGCGUGGGUGAAGAAGGCCUUCGGGUUGUAAAGCCCUUUUGUUGGGAAAGAGAAGCAGCAGGUUAAUACCCCGCUGUUCUGACGGUACCCAAAGAAUAAGCACCGGCUAACUUCGUG